rnacentral:rRNA from 1 species
UACGGAGGGUGCGAGCGUUGUCCGGAAUCACUGGGCGUAAAGGCGCGUAGGCGGCCUGAUAAGUAGGGGGUGAAAUCCUGCGGCUUAACCGCAGGGCUGCCUUCUAAACUGUCGGGCUAGAGCACGGUAGAGGCAGAUGGAAUUCCCGGUGUAGGCAGGUGGAAUGCGUAGAGAUCGGGAAGAACAUCAGUGGCGAAGGCGGUCUGCUGGGCCGGUUGCUGACGCUGAGGCGCGACAGCGUGGGGAGCAAACAG